GAUGAACGCUGGCGGCGUGCUUAACACAUGCAAGUCGAACGAAGCAUUUAGGACAGAUUACUUCGGUUUGAAGUUCUUUAUGACUGAGUGGCGGACGGGUGAGUAACGCGUGGGUAACCUGCCUUGUACUGGGGGAUAGCAGCUGGAAACGGCUGGUAAUACCGCAUAAGCGCACAAUGUUGCAUGACAUGGUGUGAAAAACUCCGGUGGUAUAAGAUGGACCCGCGUCUGAUUAGCUAGUUGGUGAGAUAACAGCCCACCAAGGCGACGAUCAGUAGCCGACCUGAGAGGGUGACCGGCCACAUUGGGACUGAGACACGGCCCAGACUCCUACGGGAGGCAGCAGUGGGGAAUAUUGCACAAUGGAGGAAACUCUGAUGCAGCGAUGCCGCGUGAGUGAAGAAGUAAUUCGUUAUGUAAAGCUCUAUCAGCAGGGAAGAUAGUGACGGUACCUGACUAAGAAGCUCCGGCUAAAUACGUG
rnacentral:rRNA from 1 species